GCUCGGCUCCGCAGCUCCAAUAUGGCGGCGCCCUGUGGCUCCUCGCAGCUCCCGGCCGCCGAGUCGCCGCUGAAGAUCCCCAAGAUGGAGGUCCUGUCGCCGGGCUCGCCGGGGGCGCUCAGCGACGGCAACCCCAGCCUCUCCGACCCCUCCACGCCCAGCGGCGCCUCCCCGCUGGGGCCGGGCGGGCCGGGCUCUGCCGCCGCCGCGGGGGCCGGGGCGGGGGGCCGCGGCGGGGCAUCGCCCUCCGUCUCCUUCUCGCCCGGCGGCGCCGCGGCGGCCGCCGCUUGCCGGGGCAUGUCGUGGACGCCGGCCGAGACCAACGCGCUGAUCGCGGUGUGGGGCAACGAGCGGCUGGUGGAGGCGCGGUACCAGCAGCUGGAGGGCGCCGGCACCGUCUUCGGCAGCAAGGCCCCCGGGCCCGCCAUGUACGAGCGCGUCUCCCGGGCCCUGGCCGAGCUGGGCUACGAGCGGACCCCGUCCCAGUGCCGCGAGCGCAUCAAGCAGCUUCCCAAGAGACAGAGUGAGUUAGUAAGGAAUGCAAAAUAUACCCUUCGCAGGUGUUACAGUCGAGUGAAAGAACAUGGUGUUGGGAAAAGGAAAAGCAGUUACACCUUUGAACAAUUGGAACAGGUGUUUGGUCAGGGAGGAUGGGACUCACAGCCCUGCCAGCCUGUACUCAUUAAUAGCAGCGGUUUGUACCAGGAGCUGGAAUCGGAUGGCAGCACUAUGGAGGAAUAUUCACAGGAGGAUUGGGGGAACCACAGUCAGGAUCUUCACUGCUACCAAGGAGGAGACCCAGAGUUGGAUGAAAUGCCUGCCACAAAGAGAACAUUAAAGAUAAAGCAGGAAUCUUCAGAAGACGCACAGAAGCAAGACGUCAUGCAGAACAUUGUGCAAAUCUUGGAAUCCGUCCAGUUAAAAUGGGAGCUGUUUCAGAGCUGGACAGAUUUCUCCAGGCUACAUCUUUCUAACAAACUAGCCAUUUUUGGCAUUGGUUAUAACACACGCUGGAAGGAGGAUAUUCGCUACCACUACGCUGAGAUCAGUUCCCAGGUGCCUCUUGGCAAACGGCUUAGGGAAUAUUUCAAUUCAGAGAAGCCAGAAGGCAGGAUCAUCAUGACACGAGUACAGAAAAUGAACUGGAAAAACGUUUACUAUAAAUUCCUAGAGAUUACUAUUAGCGAAGCAAGAUGCCUGGAGCUGCAUAUGGAAGUUGACUGGAUUCCUAUAGCUCACUCUAAACCAACGGGAGGAAAUGUUGUUCAGUAUUUAUUACCAGGGGGGAUUCCCAAAAGCCCUGGCCUGUAUGCCAUUGGUUAUGAAGAUUUCCAGGAGAAACCCCACUCGCCUCAUGCAGACCGCCGAGGCACAGAUCCUGGGAAGGAGACUCAGGGGGAGGUAGAUGUCCCUUCACCGCAGGCCUCUCUCAGGGUGGAGAUGGAGUCCGCCAGAAUUAUCUAUUGUUACCUUGGCAUUGCUGAGGUUAGAACUCUCCAGCAGUGCUUGUUUUUACAUUUUCAGGCCAACACCAAAACCUUCAGCAAAGAGUGGGUUGGAAUCAAUGGGUUUUUAUCUCAGAACUGCAUCGUAGAACCAGGGGUGUCGCCUAAAUCCAUCUACAUCAAAUUUGUGGAAGUGGAGAGGGAUUUUCUUUCUGCUGGCUCUUUGGUAGAGUGCCUGGAAAAAGCCAUUGGAUACCCAUUGAAGUUUAACAACUGAAUCUCGUCCUUCAUAAGGAUUAGGGCUCCUGCCUCCUUUCCAUGUUGCUAGCAGACGUUUAUGGAUCCUGUCUGUUCACAGUGGGGCAAGUAUGUAUACAUCGUCCGUGUGGAAAUCACGUAAACGUGCAUGUGGCCCACAUGCUGAGAAUCUCUUAGGAGUGGGCCUUUCCGCUGCACCUGACCGACAGAAGAAAAAAAAAAAACUUACCUUACUGCAGUGCAGGGUUGGUAUUGCAGCUGGCGGAAGAAUCUGCAAAGUGCCAGAUGCCACAGAGAUUCUCGUGUGGACCGCUACAAAAGUUCUUGAGGAAGCCACGUGGCUUGAUGCUGGCGGGUUUCAACAGGAAGAAACAUCCUUGAAGGAAAACGCAGAGGCUGGGCUGGAGCAUGGUUAUGGAAGGGCCCACAAGUUCCAUGUGGAAUGUGUACGACAUGAUUGUAGGGCUGCGUAUUUCUGAGUGCAAACUGGUCCUAGUCGUGGACCAGUUGUAGGCACUGGAAUUACAGCUAAAGCUUUAGAGACAUGGCCGAGAAACCAUGAGCAUGAGGGGUGGCGGAAGCUGAGCCUUCAGAUGGGGUCGAUGUGGAGCAGGGAAGGAGGAAGAAUGUGACAGUGAAGACUAGAAAUACUAGAGGGUCAUGCACAUCGCAGCUUGUGUUGGCUGAUCUCAUUGCACCUGCCAAGGGGCACAUGCACCCUUCCCUGGGUCCCACCUCCCAGCCCCCCUCUACUUUAGGGACUCCCAGUAACUCCCACUGCUCCCUCCCUCGCGCCUGGGGCUGUCUCCCCAUUUUCCCUUCCCCUGCCAUGGCAGAGUCUCUGUGCCCUCCAGUCUUCCCUGUUACAUGACAAGGUCCCCCAAUUUCCCCUUGCCAGGAGUUGUGUGUGCCCCUUGUUCCCGCUUGCUCCCAUAAGUCAUCCAUUCUCCUCCACCCCAUGCCAAUGACUGUGUGCACCCGUCCCCCCAUAGGAGGGUCCCUCAACUUCCCCUUCCCUCCCGCAUGCCAGGGCCAAAGCACGUGUCCCCCCUUCCCCACCCAACAUUAUUUGUCUCCUUUCUCUUUUGGAGAUCAGACACUCAGUGUGUCCAUGUAUUAUAACUCUUGGAAGGCUGAACAGAGCUGAGAUGGGCGGGAGGGGCGGAUUUUUAUGCUGGAGGGCAGUAAAGGGUGCCAUCAACCUCUCUUUGAUCUAUAGACAAUUGUGGAGCUGCUUGAUGCUCUGGCUCUGUUAGAUCCUGGGGCGCUGUGUGUACCCCAUUUCCCUCUUUCCUUUUUCAGAUUUCCUCCCGAAUCAAUAGGAGUCUGCCCGUUGAUGCCUAGUACGUUCCCUGAAAUUCUGGAAUUGAUGGGCUGCCAUGUUGAAAAGUGAUGGCAUGACCGACAGGCCACAAGUUGGGCGUAAGGCCUUGCAAGCUUGGCCAGCUAAGAGCAGAAGGGAAAAGUGGAACUACAAAGCCCUGCAAGAGCAAGUCUGACCUUGCCAGAAUAGAGGAGGACAGAGAGGUCCG